UGAACGCUGGCGGCAGGCCUAACACAUGCAAGUCGAGCGGAAACGAAGAGGUGCUUGCACCUUUGGCGUCGAGCGGCGGACGGGUGAGUAAUGCUUGGGAAUAUGCCUUAUGGUGGGGGACAACAGUUGGAAACGACUGCUAAUACCGCAUGAUGUCUACGGACCAAAGUGGGGGACCUUCGGGCCUCACGCCAUAAGAUUAGCCCAAGUGGGAUUAGCUAGUUGGUGAGGUAAUGGCUCACCAAGGCGACGAUCCCUAGCUGGUUUGAGAGGAUGAUCAGCCACACUGGGACUGAGACACGGCCCAGACUCCUACGGGAGGCAGCAGUGGGGAAUAUUGCACAAUGGGCGCAAGCCUGAUGCAGCCAUGCCGCGUGUGUGAAGAAGGCCUUCGGGUUGUAAAGCACUUUCAGUAAGGAGGAAAGGUUAAGUGUUAAUAGCACUUAGCUGUGACGUUACUUACAGAAGAAGCACCGGCUAACUCCGUGCCAGCAGCCGCGGUAAUACGGAGGGUGCGAGCGUUAAUCGGAAUUACUGGGCGUAAAGCGUACGCAGGCGGUUUGUUAAGCGAGAUGUGAAAGCCCCGGGCUCAACCUGGGAACUGCAUUUCGAACUGGCAAACUAGAGUGUGAUAGAGGGUGGUAGAAUUUCAGGUGUAGCGGUGAAAUGCGUAGAGAUCUGAAGGAAUACCGAUGGCGAAGGCAGCCACCUGGGUCAACACUGACGCUCAUGUACGAAAGCGUGGGGAGCAAACAGGAUUAGAUACC
rnacentral:rRNA from 1 species